GACGAACGCUGGCGGCACGCUUAACACAUGCAAGUCGAACGGAGAAUAUCGAAGCUUGCUUUGAUAUUCUUAGUGGCGGACGGGUGAGUAACACGUGAGUAACCUGCCUCUGAGAGUGGGAUAGCUUCUGGAAACGGAUGGUAAUACCGCAUAAGCCCACGGUGCCGCAUGGCACAGAGGGAAAAGGAGCAAUCCGCUUUGAGAUGGCCUCGCGUCCGAUUAGCUAGUUGGUGAGGUAACGGCCCACAAAGGCAACGAUCGGUAGCCGGACUGAGAGGUUGAACGGCCACAUUGGGACUGAGACACGGCCCAGACUCCUACGGGAGGCAGCAGUGGGGAAUAUUGCACAAUGGGGGGAACCCUGAUGCAGCGACGCCGCGUGGAGGAAGAAGGGUCUUCGGAUUGUAAACUCCUGUUGUUGGGGAAGAUAAUGACGGUACCAACAAGGAAGUGACGGCUAACUACGUG
rnacentral:rRNA from 1 species